rnacentral:tRNA from 1 species
CGUUAGCUCAGCUGGUUAGAGCAGCGGACUCAUAAUCCGUUGGUCGCAGGUUCGAGCCCUGCAC